GGCAGUGUGGCCUAGUGGCUAGCAUUCCUGACUGACACUCAGGAGACCUGGCUUCUAUUCCCAGCAACGCUG
rnacentral:tRNA from 1 species